CUGGCCAGCUGCUUGUUCUUCCAGUACAGGAACAGGAAAAUGUCAGCUUGAGAAUCCAGCAGCUACAGAAAACUGGGUCAGGUCAUGACUGUCUUGCUUCAUUUCUGAGUCUCACUGCUGAGGAAAGUUCCCUGUUGUCAGUGUGGAGACCAGGAGAGGUAAAAGGUAAGAGGUGUCUCUCUUUUUUUUUGUAUUGCUCACUUGUUCCUAACAACUCCUCCAAGCAAUACUUCUA
rnacentral:lncRNA from 1 species